AUAAAUUUGAAUUUCGCAUCUGUGCUCGCUGUUAACGUUCAACGCCGGACUGUAUCAUUUUACGAUUAUGUUUCGAAAGAAGUUCGCGAUAACUGUGUGUCGAUAAGCAAGUGUCCUUUUACGUUUGUUACCGCCAUUGGUAAAAAAGACAGUGGAAGGAGAUCUGCAUUUUGAAGUAAAUUUUUAUUAAAGUUGGGUUUAUUAUAUUACGCUCACUAAAAUGAAAUCAAUGCCGUAAUUACGAUAAUUUAUUCUAUUUAACAUUUGUAUUGUAAAUGCUCCUUUUUUCUUCCGUUCAAUAAGCCUUGUGAGAUAUGUACAGUUUGCACGUGCAAUUAGCGUACAUUGCUAAUUGGACAGCGUUGUGAACACUUGUCGAUAUUCCAAUUGCUGGAUUACGUAAUAUAGCGAGAAAAGUUUCGUGAGAUAAAUAGGAACUGUAGAGUGCAAUUUGAUCACCGUGUGACUGUCCGAGGGUUCGUUGGAAGUUGUAAACACUUUCGGCUAAGAAAUAUACGUUUUUUACCGAUUGACCUAAGCUUCGUUUUUUCCCUUUUUAAGAAAUCUUACAAAAUUCUGAGAAUGUCACAAUAUCUCCUUUGAUAUCCUCGUAACAAAAGGUUGGACUUCAGAAUAAGAUACAAUGUGUACGAUGCUAUACACAAUUUAAUAAUCUUCAUCAUAAAUAGUUUUUCAAUCGCAUUUUAUUCCUCGUUGUUUGCAAUGCUAACGAUAGUUUAAACUUCACGAGUAAUGCUUGUCAUAGAAACAAAGAACACAAAUAUAUACUUCAUCAUUCUAUGUUUAAUUAAUUUCCUAUCAAAUAUUUAUAUGUGUAUAUAUGCACAUACAUUGUAAAUAUUUGUUUUUAUACGAAAAUAAUUCAAUUUCAAAUGUGGGGGUAUAAUAAUUAUUAUAAUUAAUAUAUAUAAUAUAUAUAAUUUAUCUAAAAUACAGUAUAUAUAUAGAUCUUUAUUUUAUGUUUAUAUUAUGUUACAUAUAUAUAUAUAUUGUAUUUUAUAUAAAAAAUAUUGAUUGAUUGAGUGGUAAUAUUAUCCAUUAACUUUUUCCCUGUCAAUUGUCACCAACUAUCUGCUACAUGACUGAACGAUAACAAUAAACAAUUAAAGAAGAAACCAGCCGUAACGCGCGAGUAUCGAACGCAAGUGAACUUUACGAUGGAAAUAUUCAAAUCUUGAUAUCAGCUAUCGUCGAUAAUUAUGACAAGUUCUGAGAAGAAAAAAACGUAAGCGUACAUAAAUUUUGCAUACGCAAACGAUUACAUAAAUGUUGUAAGAGUUCAACUAACAGUUUAUUCGUAAGCUUCGAGAUUAGUAAUAUUUCAUUGCGAAGCAAACGAUGCAAAAAGACGGAGAAUGUCAUCAACGAAAAUAACAUUCCAAGAACUAUUACUGCUGCUAUUGACGAUAAUCCAACGUGGAUGGAAAAAGAAAUAUCGCAUAAUUCAGCAAGCGUUAGUGUCUUCGGGGUCUACGCUGUACACCUGAUGCAUAGCCUACAUGCUGACCAACUACUGUAACUAUUUGACGAAUAUCCACAGAUGAUGCAGCAAUUCUAGCCACCGACGAAUAUCCUAAGGUUGCGUCGACAUCAUUGCAGCAACACAGGCUAAGUCAGUGGAGAAUGGAAAUAAAUACUGACAAAUGGACAUGUUACGUUUGCCUUGAAUUUACCAUAACCACGUCGCACUUAAUAAGUGCAUUAUAUAAGUGCAUUAUAUUAAUCAACUGGUUGACCAUUUUGGGUUACGUCUUGACCGCAAGGUAACAUGGAACCAGCAAACGACAAAGAGACCCAGCAAAUUCGACUCUUAGGAGGAAAGCAACGUUCUGGUUGACCGGUGGACGUUCUAAGUUCAGCAUAGAAGCAUAGUCACUUGUACAUAAGCGCAUCAUGAAACCAAUCCUGGCAGCCAAUUAUGGGGCAUGGAAGCGAAAAGCCUACACAGCAAAGUGUGCGGUUCUUCAGCCAGGACCAAGCCAAGAGAAAUCCUCAGGACGAUAGAAAACGCAACACAAUUGCUACGUUGGAAACGACGGAAUUCGUGAAAAUCUGUGGACAAACUGUGUUACAGUUUGCAGGUGACGUGGCUGUGCAGCCAGUGCAGUUCAAGACUACUGGACCAUCCCAUCUUGGUAGCCAGGGACCUACGCUCACUCAAUCAGCCUCGCAAAGUCCGAAGAGGACAUGUUGGUUACAUCGACAACAAGUUAUCGGCGAGAAACACUUACGCAUUGACGCCAAUGAAAUAUAAUUUCGUAUGGACCCCGUCCAAAAGGAUAGUUGUUCACUUACCGAAUGUCUGUGUCGUGAAUGUGUUUUGAACAGACUGUGAAGACUCUAGGAUACUAGAAAACGAAAAAGGAGAAGAUUCAACAAGCCACUCUAAUCGUGUCUACGUUACUUGAUUCAAAUGGAAAAAAUGGCAAAGGAGGUAGAUACAAGCCAUUUUGAUCGGUGACCCAAAAACAAACGACGAUCGAGAGACCUCGUGAUAUUGCUUCUGACGUUGGUUUGGAAAAAAUCGAAGAUGCAAAACACGCGUCAAAGGAAAGAGCGAGAUGCAAAAGACGAAAUGACGCUGACCCUUCGAUGGUCAUCUGCAAGACUCGCUCCUUAUUAUUCCGUGCAAGCUAGCGAUGUGUUGAUGCGAGAUGAAGUUGACGUGGAAUUACCAAGGAAACGACGAGAGCCGGCGAACAAAUGCAAGAGAAAUCCUCAUGGACACUCUGUUGCUGCGAGGAUAGCAGAGUAAUGUCCGACAAAAAAGUUAUGAGUCGAGUUAUAUUGACCAGGCUGUGACUGCAGUUCCACUUCUGGGCGCCAUUCCACUACCGCUCGCCAUGGAGACAACCUAACCUCAACCUAACUCCAACCUAACCUCAACGAUCGUCAUCUUUUGACUAUUCUCAAGCAGAUGAACACACUGUCGCUCAAUUAGUCUCAUUAAUUAGAUGUAACAUUUGGGGAAAGAUGGGACAUUUCGGUGGACGCUAACUUUUAGAUAAAAUGGACGUACGGAUGGAGGACAGAGCGACAAUGUUGGACCGGAGAAUGAGCGCAGAUGGUUGUUGAAGUAACUGCACGGAAGCAAUGGGCUAUCGUAAAGCAGUUGCAGCUUUUAAUGUCCUGAAAACUGCAUUGGACAGGAAGGUGGGUCUCUGUCGAGAAAGUCCUCGAUAGUUGUUGAGGACUAGUUUAGAACCUUCCCAAAGUGUAUUUUCACUGGAGGAGGAGGAAGCAUUAGUAUUUGUGUGAGAUGGAAGACCUAUUAUUUGGUUAACAACAAUUAAUAGCAAUUUAUGCGCCCCAUUGUGCAUUUUUUUUACACUUUUCAUGUCAAGUUUUGAAAGUUUAUUUUAAGAUAAUUCAAUAAACAGAUAUUGGCGCUAGACAA